ACGGGAGGCAGCAGUGGGGAAUAUUGGGCAAUGGGCGCAAGCCUGACCCAGCAACGCCGCGUGAAGGAAGAAGGCUUUCGGGUUGUAAACUUCUUUACCAGGGACGAAGGACGUGACGGUACCUGGAGAAAAAGCCACGGCUAACUACGUGCCAGCAGCCGCGGUAAUACGUAGGUGGCAAGCGUUGUCCGGAUUUACUGGGUGUAAAGGGCGUGUAGGCGGAGAUGCAAGUCAGGAGUGAAAUCUAUGGGCUCAACCCAUAAAUUGCUUUUGAAACUGUUCUUCUUGAGUGCUGGAGGGGCAAUCGGAAUUCCUUGUGUAGCGGUGAAAUGCGUAGAUAUAAGGAGGAACACCAGUGGCGAAGGCGGAUUGCUGGACAGUAACUGACGGUGAGGCGCGAAAGUGUGGGGAGCAAACAGGAUUAGAUACCCUGGUA
rnacentral:rRNA from 1 species